GCGGGGUGACAGGCGGGUCUCGGCCACAGCCGAGUGCGGCGCGUCAGUUCCGGCGGGGAACGCGGCGCGGCGCGUGGGUCGGAAGCGCCGCGGCGGCGGGGAGCGGAAAAUGGCGACGGCCGCGCAGCUCACGGACGAGGAGCUCUUCUCGGAGCUGAGGCGCUUCGGCUUCUCCCCGGGGCCGGUCACCGAGAGCACCCGGCCCGUCUACCUGAAGAAGCUGAAGAAGCUGCGCGAGGAUGAACGGGCCGGGGCCCGCGGCGGCGGCGCCAACAAGACCCGGAACAGCAACAACAAUAACACGGGAGCCGGAGCGGCGCCGGGCGGAGGCGGCGGCCCUGGGCGGGCGGCCCCGGGAGCGCGGCUGGCCGGCGCCGAGCACCCCUUCCUCCCUGGGGCUGCCGCCGGAGGCGGCCGGGGCCGCGCUGCAACCCCGUCCGGGGGCGGCAAAGUGCUGCUGGGCUUCAGCUCGGACGAGUCGGACGUGGAGAGCAGUCCCCGGAGCCAGGCCGGCGGCAGGAGGGAGCGCGCUGCGCCCCUCUUCCGCGGCCUCAGGCCCGCCGCCCCCCACGGCGCCUGCGGCGUGAGCAGCAGCUCCCCCCCGGAGGAGGCGGCCCGGCGGAAGCCCAACGCCUGGUGGGGGGCGGCGGCCAGGAGACCGGCGGCGACUCAGGGUGUGAGGGAGCUCGGCGACGGCGAGGAGGAGGACGACGAAGAGGGGGAGGAAAAGGAGAGCGAGCAGCAGCGGUGGAAGAACCGGACCGUGAACGGGAACCGGUUCCUCUCCUACGGAGGCAGCAGGGACAAGUACUCGGACUCGGAGGAGGAGGAGGCGGCGGGGGCGAGGGCCAAACAGCAGGAGGAGUCUGCAGUUCGCCGGCCCAGACGGAGCCUCAGCAAGUCGCCUGCUCCAUUCAUAACAAGCAAAUGCGCUGCAGCCGGCGCUGGCGUGAUGGAGACGGGCCAAGAAAGGGCUGGCGGAGGCUGCGGUGCUGGUGUGCUCGUAACGAAUGACAGGGCGGCGGGGGCGGCUGCUGCCGGCAGUCUAGACAGGGGCAGCAGUCAGGAGGAGGAGGAGGAGGCGGCGGCGGCGGUGGGGGUGGGGGGAAGAGGAGGAGGAGGAGGAUGUGAAAAUCUGGACUCUAGUCCUCCCAGACCCAGAUACCGCAUUGGCCUAUCCAAGAAAUCCCCGUCAGUAUUGUUGUUGCCGCCACCGCUCACGGAUGUGGACAGCGGCAAAAUCACUGACCCUCCAGGCGCCAUUAGGAAAGCGACCAAUAAUCAUGUUCUCAGCGGUGCUCCUAGUAGCUGUAAUGUUGAAUCCAGGAUCUAUUCAUCUACUAAUAGCCUUCCCCCGGGUGGAACCACCUCCUCCCUUAGACUCAACCACUCCAAUCAUACGGGUUCAAAUCAUACCUACCUGAAAAACACCUAUAAGAAGAAUCUCUCUGAGCCCGAGGAGGAGCUUCUCCAACAGUUCAAAAGAGAGGAGGUAUCCACCACUGGAGGCUUCAGUGCACAUUACCUGUCCAUGUUCCUCUUAACUGCUGCAUGCUUGUUCUUUCUGAUACUGGGAUUCACAUACCUGAGAAUGAGAGGUUCUGGAGUAGCUGAGGAUGUGGGAGCCAACAUCAAGGAUCCCUUUAGUGAAGAACUCCAAAAAAUACAAGAAGAGGAAAUAAGUCUCAUGAUGAAGAGCUUGUAUGCACUUCAUGAUAAAUUGGCACAAGUAGCAGGGGAACAUGAAUGUGGCAGCUCUACUCAAAGAAACCUUACCGUCCAGGAGGCAGCUGCAUAUUUAAAAAAUUUAGAUCCAGAAUAUGAAAGUGUACUUAACACAUCAUUACAAUGGAUCUUGAAUAGUGGAGAAGAUGUUGGCAUAAAGUGUCUCAGCAAUGACCCUAAUGAGAUGGAUGUCACUAAUGUGACAGAUGUGAAGUAUCUGGAAUCCACUAGUCCAAAGAUGUCUUUCAGGUGUCGUUUUCGCCGUGCGUUUGUUAAUGUAACUCACAGAUUAUCAAUAUUGCUUUGGGGUGUAGCAAUGGUUUGGGGAGUCUUACACUACAUGAAAUACCGUUGGGCAAAAGAGGAAGAAGAAACAAAGCAGAUGUAUGAUAUGGUGGUGAAAAUCAUAGAUGUUCUAAGAAGCCACAGCGAGGCGUGUUCAGAAAAUAAAGAGUUACAGCCUUACAUGCCAAUUUUACAUGUGCGAGAUUCUUUAAUACCACCGCAGGACAGGAGGAAGAUGAAUAAAGUCUGGAAUAGAGCAGUUGACUUUCUUGCAGCAAAUGAAUCUAGAGUUCGUACAGAGACACGAAGAGUAGGUGGUGCCGAGUUCUUGGUUUGGAAGUGGAUGCAACCUUCUGCAGCGUGUGACAAAAUUUUAGUAAUACCAUCCAAAGUGUGGCAAGGCCAAGGUCCAGGUCCAUGACUAGGCCACCCCAGAUCACCUUCUCCAGUAUGGUGUGGUGCCCCAGUGUACAAUAUGCUGGUGACAUUUCACCCUACCCUUGAUCUGCUGGAGCCAACCUCCAUAAGUAAGCAUUUCAUCUAGAUAGAAGAAAUUCACCACCGAACAGCUUGACACCAUGUCUAAAGAUUCGCAAUAUGUUUGAUCCAGUUAUGUAAGUAAAAACAGUUAUCUGUCUGUAUUUCUGCAUUCUUUUGGAAGAGUCCAUUUCUUACCUCUGAGAGGGAUUUGGAAGAAGUGAAGAAACAUGAACAUGUUGAAAAAAACAGGUUGUAAAAAAAAAUGUUUCUCUUAACAUCUAUGAGAAGAUAUAAAAAACCUUAACCCUCUGUCUUCUGUCCUUCAUUGUAUUGCUUUGUGUCUUUGGCUCACUUCUUGAAAGAUGUGGCAUAUAGUCAAACUAUUUGGAGCAAUGACUGAUCUUUCUCCAUUAAUCAAAUUUGUAAAUGUUCAAUUGUAUCAACUGACAGAGGCAACUCAUGUGGCCUGACAACAGAUUGUAAAUUUCUAGUCUUGUUCAAUAUUCUGAAGUAUUUGGACAGCUACAAAGCUUGCAUAGUUUGCAUUUAAAAUGCUGAAUUGAAAUAAUUUAUUACUUUAUGGCACUAAGGCUGCCUAAUUUUGAAGCAAAUGGAUUUUUGUAGUGGGAACAAAUUAGUGCUGCCUACUGACUUCUAGUGCUCAUGUAAUUCUCAUAAUUCUGAAGUAUGUACCGUGUAUGAAUAAGUAACAAGCUUUGUUUCAUGUACCAAGAGCUAAGGAAAAAUAAUUAAUUUUUUUUUGUAGUCUGUUAAGUCUUCGUCUGCUCCACUAUUCUGUUAUAUCCCCUUUGGCUCUGGAGUAGAUCAUGGUAGGAGUUGGGAACUAACACAGAGGUUAUGACAGAUAAUCCUGUAUAAGCUUUGAAGUGUCUUUGUCCAUUGUAAAAAGAUACAGGGACUCCAAUAACUUCUCUGGAGUAAAUUAUUCCUUAAUGUGAUUAUACAAGGGAAAAUUACAGAUGCUGUGUCUAACAAGGGUACGUGUGAGAUGCUACCUCAAUAAUACAACCCAUUGAUUAGGACAGGAAGUAAGGGAGGACGUCAGAGUAUGGACACAAGUGAUUGCAAAGUUUGGAUGUAUUUAUUCAGCCUUUUUUCUAGCCACACUUAAUUUAGUUUAGUUCCUUGCCUUAUUAACUGAAAGGCUGUUGGUUAAUUUAGAUGAAGACAGUGUUACCCCUAGCAUAGAGAAGUACUUCAAAAACCUUUUCUCAAUGUCUUUAAGAUUUAAUGUCUGGUCAAAGACACCAGCUUCUGUGGCUUCUAUAAUAACUUUCAGGUUGCAGUAGGGUGAGCAAGACUGAAAUUUCAAGGGUUGUUCUUGAAGCAAAUUGAUCCUCCUGUAGGAGGAUUAAAACAUGAGAUUUGCAGAGAAUUUUAAGGGACAUCAACAUCCUUCUUGUCUUUGCUUCAAAGAAGACUUUGUGAGCUGUAUUGGUUAGUUUGAGUGGUACUGAAAUAGUCACUGUAAUAUUUCUUGGUAUGUUGUAUUGGUUACUUUCCUGUUUCAGAAUGUUAGCAGUUCAAAAUGUCUGUUGUUAAUGGAACUAAUUACUGAGAUGUUAUUUUUGUCAGGACAGUCUCCCCUUUUAGCCUAUAUCUUUGCUGUAAGCGUCAGUGUUUUCAGUACUGACCCAGUCCGUGUCCAACAGGUGCAUUAAAAAGCCCCCACAUUUAUAGACUAGGAGUUUUUGUGUUUUAGCACUUGUCUUUAGUGCCUAUGUCCAGUCAGCUAUUUUGAACAUUGUGACUUCUAAUACAUUGACUUUUUGUAGACAUUUUCUUUUGGAAGUUGACCUAGCUCCAUUACUGGACUGCUGGAUUACAUUCGUAGUGGGCUACUUCAUGCAAUUCUCUAUUGUACUCCCUAGUGCAUUCUUCUUCUGUGAGCUGUCUUUCAGAGGACUGUGCCUUAAGGAAAUAGUUCUUAUCAUACCCUUGGAAUUAUCUUAAAGAAAACACAAACAGAAAUCCAAAGCCCUCAGUGCAAGACAAACCAUAUUAUUAGUCUGCUUGUGUCAUUAGAGGAAGGAGGCUUAUGUUCUUGUUCCAGACCUGAAAGGGAUGAAUACUUUCAACCACCUAAAACAUAGAAUGUACCAGUGUCUGUGAUUAGAUUGUCAAGUAUUGUUUUGACGUUUGCUGUGGAUGCAAGGUAUGUUUAACAAAACUAGUUUUAGCUGCUCUUACAGUGACUGUAUACUAACAAUAAUUACUGAAUUCCUUUCGGUGAUUGCACCGGUAGCUGUUAGAAGCAGCCCCAUGAAACAGGUCUUUUUUCUUGACCUGAGAUUCAUCUGGGAAUAUACUGGUUAACUUGUUUUUAUUAAUGUUAGCACAGCAAAUAAUCAGCUCUCUACUGCCAAAAGUCAAGGAGGAAUCAUAUCAAGGGAACAAAUUGUCCAACUUGUUCACUUGUACAUUGUGAACCCUCACAUCACAGCAGCAGACUUUGUUGUGUGUUCUAGACAUUUACUAUGCAAUGCAGAAGCAUGUUUUUUUAACUAUUAGUCUAAGCACCACUUGGAUGCUUAGAAAAAGCCCAUUUUAGGACAACACCCCACCCCCCAAACAGAGGUUAUUCCUUUUGAUUUGUAGGGUUGAAUUGUCUAAAGUGGACUGUAGGAGCCAAUUUACAGUGUAUUCAGUAGGAAAAGUACUUAAUCUGUCCCAGAGACGUUUACCAGAAAAUUAUGUGAAGUUGCAGAGAAACCAGACUCAGUAGGGAAGUAUGAGAAUGUUGUGAAUGUUUAGAAAAGUAUGUAAUCCCUUAAAUCUUAUAUUGUUUGCCUAGGGAAAUAGGUGAUCACUGGCAUCUAGCAAUUCAAGAAGCAAUCUUGGAGAAGUGCAGUGAUAAUGAUGGAAUUGUUCAUAUCGCUGUAGACAAAAAUUCACGUGAGGGCUGUGUAUAUGUCAAGUGUCUCUCCCCGGAGUAUGCUGGAA